AGCACACUCCGGCCUUCUGGCUCUGCCCCUCCUUCCGGCCUUGAACAAAGGUCUUCUUUGCAUGCUCCACCUCAGCGCGGCUGCUGACUCCAGGUCUCUGAUCUAAUAUCACCCUUCCGACUGCAUGGUCACUGACCCAUUGUAAAUUUUUGUGGCAAUGUCCAUGUCAUCAAGAAGAUGAGCAGAAGCACUGGAGAAUUAGUUUGUGAUCUUGAACAUACUGUUGAGAUUUUGGGGGUGUAGCUUACCUGUGAUAAGCAGAAGACACUCUCCAGCAGCAAAGAUCCUGGUCAUCCAGCUCUUCAGUCUUCCGCCCCUCUCUGUGGUGUUCCCUGAAAAGAGUCUUGCUGUAUAGCUCAGGCGGGCCCCAAGCUUGCAUUCCUCCCGCUCUAGGCUUCAGAGUGCGGAGAUAACAGAUGUGUGACGUGUCACCCUGCCCAGUUUAGAAGACCUACUUUCAAGCAUACACCUGGAAGGACAAAUGUGUUUUGUGAAAGUAAAUGCCAUUUUUGUGCAAGAUGAACCGCUCUGCUCCAACAUCCCUCCUUGCAAGGUGUUCUGAUUCACCACAGCCCAAACACGAUGGCGAGAAGUAGAUUACAGACUGAAGCCUGUGAAAUAAAUCCUUCCUCCCUUCAUACUUUAUGUCAGUUAAAGAUGUGGCUUCCCAGCUCCUGCGUCCCCCACCAGCCUGCUGCUGCCUGCUCCCGUGCCUCCCCACCAAGAUGGGUUUUUAUGCUCCUGGAACCUGUGGAUGCACAUGUCCUCAUGUUUGGACAGCUCAAGUUAUAUGUAUGCCUGGUUCAUGGCAUCCUGCAAUGCCCAAAGCCCCUCUGUCUCACGGGCAGAAAAAAAAAAAAAAAAAAAGACAGAGCUGGGACAUCUUAUUGCAGUGACACAUUUAGACAUCGGUUCAGCGCUACCAAAGCAAAGAAGCUGGCCUUAAACAGACCCACUGAGACUAUCUGAAACAGCAAUGACGGUGCCUAACUCAACACACAGUUUUGAAAGAGUCUCAGACUUUCCUAUGACCUCUCUUGGUACUAUCUUUAUCUUUCUUCCAGUCCAACCGGAAAGCCUCCUGAGUCUAUAGGAGGGUUGGAGAAAUGAAGCUGUGCAAAUAUUCAAGUAAGAGAAAAAGCAAAUUAAUGGAAACAGCCUGACUUUGAGGACGCAAGCCCUGCUGAGAACUGGUACCACCGUUCCCACAGCUGCUCCCGCGGCUGUCCCCAUGCCAGUACCUGAGACCUUUGAUUGUUGUAGGCGUAAAAGAUGACCUGUGAGGCUUUGGCCAGAGAUAAGGAGAGCACCUAGAGGUGACAGUUAUAGCUCCUUCAUUAACGGGUUCAAAGAAGUCAAGCAUUACAUGGAAGGAGACCAGUGGGAGUGACAGCCAGAGUCCCCUGUGUGAAGUUAAAUCUGAAUUGUAGAAUGAAACUUCUACUCCUUUCUCUCUACGUUCAACAGAGUAGAACCAACAGGAGGCACCCAGCAAGUUCCAGCCUAGAGCAGAGAGCUGACUAGAUAUUGCACUGGUAAGUCUGUUUGCUGGAGACCAGAAAGUCAUUUGAUCCCACUGUACCUAAGCGCAGGUAGUAAAGCAGGAAGAGAGGCAGAGGCUGCCUUGAUUCUAUAAACUACUGUUCACCAGGAGCGAACAUUUGGAUGUUAUUCAACUAAAAUGAGGGUGGAAAGAAGUGAAAAAGCAAGUAGAGAAGGAAGUGGAGAAAAAGAUAGACAUUUCCUCUUUGUCACUUCUGAAAGAGCUAAAUGUCCUAGAUGGGCAGGAGGAAAAAACAUGAAAGAAAGUGAAAAGCACCCUUCGUGAAGAUUCCCAUCAUGCUCAUGAGCAAUUCUGGCCAUUGACCCACCAUCCAAAUAGGAGGAAAGCACAGCGGACUUCUGGGGAGCAGACUGGCUUUUAUGACAACCUUCUCUCUAUCACCUGGGGAAUCUUAACCCAUAUUUUGGCAACCCUACUGAUGGAACUCCAGCACUGUAAGUUCUCCAAGAUCCCCUUGUGGGCAUAUUACUUUCCUACUGCUCAGAUUUACUGUGACGUAGAUCUAUGGUGGCCAAAGGUCUUGUGGCUGUGGCCGUGGCUGUGGCUGUGGCUGUGGCCAUGGCCGUGGAAAACAGAAUACUCCUCCAUGAGCUUCAAAACAGUUAAGGAAACUCCUUUGCCUAGCUAGAACCCCGGUUUGGACAGCCGUGAUCUCCAAAUGUCCAGCAGAGAGAAACCUUCGCAGCAAGCUGUCUGUCAUGGAAGAUUCAGGUGCACGCUUCCCACUCCUCAAAGACCUAGAAUUUUUUUCCUUAGAAGAGGAGAAAAAAUAAAUAGGAAAUCAGCCAGGUGUAGGUAUCACAGAAGCCACAUUGCAGAAGGGGGAAAAAAAGCAAGCAAUAAAAACAGUAGCCCUCAAAGAUACUAGUGAGUGUGUACAGAGCUCAGGAUCCAAGCUUUAAGCCCCCGCAGAGACAGGGGGAUGAGACCACGUGUGCCGACUGUGGAAACACUUGUAAAGCCACCAGGGACUGUAACUGCAAGGAGUGAAAUAGCAUGGCGGCUCUCGGCUAGCUCGGGGUAUGUGAGUUUGAGCUUCGUUUGCUGUCUGUUGCUUGGUGUGCUUGGAUUUCAGAUGGAAGGGCUCGAGGGGGAGGGAAGAAGAGACAAAGAUCCAAGUGGAUGUGGAAGGGUUCCCUUGGAGGGAGUAAAACACGUGAGUGCGCAGGGGAGAACACAAGCAAGCGGUGAGGCAGUGGGAACUGUGUAGCAUCUUACUGCCAGGGUGGCGUUCGGCGGGGCCGUUUCUUUGAGCAAACAGAAGUGAACCUUUGAGAAAAUCAUGGCAGCAGUUGAGCUAUCCAUCGGGGCUUGGGCGUGUGGCUCAGAGAAGAAGCGCCUGUCUGGCAUGGAUGUGGCCUUGGGUUAAACCUCGGCAUCCCAGACUCUCCAAAUAGGCACUGGAAAAAGCAGGUAAGGGUCCUGGGAGGGGAGGACAGCCAGGGAAAGGGUUAUAAGGAUGACAGUGCUACGCUGAUGAGUGAUGGCGGAGCUGACGGUCUGAGCAGGGAGGUUGGUGACAGGCACAGAGGAGCCCUGGGACUAUUUAGGGCAUCUUAUGUGGGAAGAUUCUUGAGGCCUGGGAUCCUUUGAAGGUCCCACAUUUCCCCGACUUCAUCCUUCCAUGAUAAGAACCUGGUUAGGUUUGUUACCCCAAGAGGAGCACCAUCACAUUAUCACGGUGACAAGUCUUUCAGCAUGAGAGCUAAAACCUGCAGACCGAGUUGGCCUAGAGGCCAGAGCGCUGGGGAACGCUGAGUGAUGUCUCCCAGAGAGCCAGAGGAGGAGGACUAUCUGUCCAGUUCUGUAUGUACUAGCUGAGGACACCGAGCCCAGGCAGAUAGCGGCCGAGGAGCGGUUCCUAGGAGGUACUCCCUUCUGAUCAGUUUAGGUGGGAAGGCCGGGGGUGGGGGAGGGAGCUGUGUGGAUCUCCUGGCGUCACUGCCCUCCUGGGGAUGGGACUCUGGCUGCACUUCUGGGUGUUAGACAAGGCAUCUCUUGCUAGAAUCUCAGGACACUCAGACAAAUGUGAAGCAAGGAGCUCCUGGAGAUGGGGACGGUAGAGAGAGGAACUGGACCCCUGAGAAGGACGAUGUCUGCAGGCAAAGAAGCUGCUCGUGUUUGCCAGCCACACAGGAAGCCAGUGACGGAGCUGACGUCUGGACAGCUCUGGACUGGAGUUCGUCACCAGCGUGAACUCUUCAUGGAAGAACAGAAAUGAGAUCUCUGACCAAGCUGUAAGAGAUCUCUACCCGAUGCUCUGGACAGAGGGUUCCACAUAGCCUCCAUCCCUGAAUUUCAUGUUUUAGGCUGCUAGGAGGAUGAACUGCACGGGGGGAUACAUGGGGCCCUCCUACCUUACAGACUCUAAUUCUAUACUACACAAACUUAGGCUGGGUGAGAAGAACUGGUGAGCAAGGGCAGGCAGGGAUCCCAGAUUCCUGGAGGAGCUUGCCUUCCCCUCCCGCCCACGCAGGCUUGUAAAAGAACUUGCUGGAGUAUCUUCAACCUGGACAACACGGAGGGUCAGGCCUAAAAGGACUGCAGAUGAACAGAGGCAGUGUCAGGAGGAGGUGUGGCUUUGCCAAGGCAGGUGGUCUGCUCAGCACCAGGCUUUCCACUGCACGGCUCCAAAAGAGAGAGCACUACUCCUGCUGCGACGAAAUGAGGGGCUGUGGGUCCCGGAGGGCCUUAGCCUAGCUGGCAAGAGCGCGCGGGACUGGUAUGAGAGCAGCUGAAAACUGUUGAGCUCGGUAUGAAUGAGUCCUGGCAACAGGUUCCUCACAAGGAUGUACCACCUCCAAAUAAAACUAAAAUAAACCUUUCCUCCCUUCGGUUCUCAGCAAUUUUGGUCACAGAAAUAAGAAAAGUAGCUAAUACAGAGAAAGAAAAGAAAGAAGGAAGGAAGAAAAGGAAGGACGGAAGAAAAGAAGGAAGGAAGGAAGGAAGGAAGGAAGGAAGGAAGGAAGGACAAAAGAAAGAAAGGAGAGAACGAGCAUACGUUGGUGGGGAGAAGAGGAACACUUGCUAGACCUCCAAGGUAUGGAGGAUGAAUCCGCUACCUCCGGGCCAUAAACUCAGACGUUUCUCCCAAUGCACCCUGGGAAUCAGCAAGAAACACAAUCCAGGCAGAAGCAGCGGGAAGCCUGCGCUUAAAGCUGAUUCAGGAAGACAGGUAUUUGCUGGCUCUUGGGCCAAACAGAACUGAGCUGAGGAGGCCCUGUGCAAACCGCCUACCCUCAGACAAGUCGCUUAAUGUGCUGGGCCUCAGUUUCCUCUUCUGCUACUUUACUGAAUUUGCAAGUCUUGUUCCACAAGUAGUUCUGGCUUCAAGGAACACUGAUGGUCUAUAGUGCCCCCUGGCGGGAGGUUUUGAAAAAACCUUUUCUUCUGUGGCGCUUCUUGCUGGGUGCUUGAUCUCUUUAAGACACUCCACUCUUAAGGCUAACGCAAGAAUUUUGCGCUUCCGAUUAUCUUUAACCUGAAACAAAACAAAACGAACGCAAAAACCAGGAUAGAGUGGUUCACUGAGAAGAAUUCACGCGGAGGGGCACGGCCUGCAAGCACAGCAGGGCUGAGUUCAGCUCCCACUCAUUCCUAGACCGAGUGGCUGGGAGCCUAAGCGGAAGCGAAGACGUGAAGGAGCAAGCUCACUUCUGUCUUGCUCUCCGUGGCUUUCUCAGCUUGCUUCCCGGGACCGCACGCCCAAGAAUAGCACCAACCACACUGCGCCCAAGCUCUCCCCCGCAGACAUGGCCGCUUCAAUGAGAGCAACUCCCCAGCUGAGGGUCUGUCCUAAGCGACUCUAGUUUGAGUCAAGUUAACGAAAAGCAGCCAGCACGCGUGCUUUCUGACCAUGAGCACAGUGGUGCUGUGAACUUGGAUCUUGUUUCCACAUGGCGUCAGUGUUUGCCUCUCCCGAUCGGAGCAUCCACUCCACAGCCCCAUCCCGAAGCUCCGGCCUUAGUGAGGUGCAGAGACCAUGGCAAGGACCGUGGGCAUCAUAGAGAACCUUCUGUGGGGGGACAGGUGUAAAAGUGGGUGAUGGUCUUAACCAAGCCAAAAGCUUCCAGAAAAUGGGUUUAUAAGAGAAGAGAUGGGGCUGAGAGUAAGGAAAUGAGGGGGAAAAUAAGGUUGGGGAAGUGCUAGGAUCGAUUGAUCUCCUGGGGGAAGUCAAUUCUUUGAGGAAGCUACCUCAGACAGUCCUGAUGCUGUCUCCUGCUGGGAAGCUCCAGUGCAGAGGAAAUUUAAUUCAGAACAUGGCUGUUCUGGCAACAGAUCACAUCCAAGGACCUCCCAGGUCUUUGUGAUUUGGCUGAAAUACAAACACCCCUUUAAUCCAGGGGACAGAGGCAAGCAGAUCUGAGUUUCAGGUAAAGAAAAGCUUAAGUCCAGGUGUGGUGGUACAUGAUCCCAAACAAUGAAGGUAAAGUUAGUUUGUAGAAGAAAGCACCCAUGUUCGGAAGUGAUGUCUAAUUGAGUGGCAGAAAGAGUGAUGAAUCAAAGAAAGACUUGACAGAAUAGGAUAUGCCCAACUCUCAUGAGAAGAGAGAGGAAAGAAAAGCUACUUAAAGGACAAUGAGGAAGAGAAGAGGCAGUUUUAUGGGGACAGUAAUAGAGAGACAGGUUGUAGGUUGUAGAGAGAGAACUCAGGUGAAGACUGAAUAAACCAGAGAAUGAGAAGGAGCCAGAAGAUUAGAGCAGAUUGCUGGAGUUACUUUGAGGCCAAACAGAGCUAUUCAGAGGCCAAGGGAAAAGCCAGGUUGAAUAAGUCAUCUGGAAGAAGAGUUUGAGCCAGAACAGCUGAGGUGAACCAGCCAGCCAGAGUUCAGUAAGAGAGCGUGUAAGGGUACCUUACUCCACAGUAAGUCUCAGAGGCUGGAAGUGUUCUAUGCCUAGAUUAGAUUAUACGGAGGCUAGAAGCUUCCAGGACUAGGCCUAGGUUAACAGAAAGAGGCAGUAAACCUCCAAGACAACAAGUGAACCAGGGCAAAUAAAAGUUCCUUUUACACCCCAGUUCUCCACAGCCAGCCACAUGAUUGCCAGUCAGCAACUGGAUUGCCAGGAAGGUAGAAAAAGAGCAGUCCUUUGGCAUACACAAGAUGGCAUAGCAUUUCCCCCAUAUCACUCACAUACAUCAUCACCACCACCACCAUCAUCACCACCAUCAUCAUCACCAUCAUCAUCAUCACCACCACCAUUACCACCAUUAUCAUCACCAUCACUGCCACUAUCAUCAUCAUCACCAUUACUAUCAUCACCACCAUCAUCACCACCAUUAUCAUCAUCAUCACUACCAUCAUCUUCUUCUUCUUCCUCUUCUAUUUCUUCUUUUUCUAUUUCUUCUCCUUUCUUCUUCAUCUUCUUCUUCCAUUAAAUAAAAUAAGUGCCAAGAUAAAAGUUCCAGCACUUGGAACAUAUUUCUACCUGUUCUCCUUGGGACAUUUCAUAUCUUGGGCUCCUUCCUCAAGGAGAGCAACAAACAAGGCAGCUCUGGAGACCCUCAUUUCCUCCCUCACACCAGCAGGCAGGGCCCCUCCCAAUGCUCAGGGUCUGAACAAGACCAGGGCAUGCAGGGCUGCCAGCACUACUAUUUCCUGGAUGCCAAACGCCUGAGUGACUGUCUGGAGGAGCUGGAGGUUGGCUUGGGUCUCCAUAUAACCCCAGAGCUGUGCAGAAGGAACUUAGGAUUGAAUCUUUCCAGCUUCCACUUUCUGCCAUUCGUUACACAGACUGGCCCAGAGCACAGCACGUUCCAGAAAAGCAGGUCCGUGAAAAGAGAACUCGGGAACUUGCGUAUCGGUGUCGGCUUUAAUGAGGGGAGGGGAGAAUUCACGCGCUAUAAACAUUAGCUCUAGGGUGAUGCCCUGGGCAAGCGGAGGCCUGGGAGUGGCUGGCAGCCUUAAGGGGGCUAGUGAGCAGAGGAGCAUGGCUCGGUUGAAGAUCAUCGCUGACCAAGCGUGUCAGCACACCAUUAAGGUCAAUCUUGUAUGCGGUUUCUGGUGAGCUCCAAGGUCCAUUUGGACUCUCCCUGUAAUGUGGUCACUUUAUGGUCCGUGUUUUGCUGCUUCCGGCUGCUGUUGUCCAUCACAUGGGCAUCCUAUCUCAGAUGCCAAGCAGUGGCAAAGCCGAUCCUGUGGGGGGGGGGGUGCUUCACCCUUCCCAUCAUUCUUUGGGGGUCUGCUGGUGAGACAUAAAAUCCAUUCCCGAAUGUCCUCAAAUCCCCAUGGAAGGAACAGGAACUAACACCAGCUGAGUACCUACAAUGUGCAGGCUUUCCCACUGUCCCGUCACAAAGGCCCCGCGAACAAGCGUGGAACCCAGAGUCCAGUCUGAAUCAGGGUGCACAUUACUACCGUCUCCCAUAGCUUCUGGGAAAGCAGGAAACUGAAGACAGAAAUUCAUCGGGGAAAGGCGGCCAUGCCUGGAGCUGAGCAUGACAGGAAGUCACACGCGGAUGUGUUAGGACAGUCUGUAGAUUCCACUCUGCCAUGGGAACCGAAACAAUCCCGGGACACAUGCGAGCUGUGGGCUCCCACGUAUUUACCCCCCUGCUCACCCAGUGAUGGCAACCACAGGUUACCACUAAGUGGAGCAGACAGCUUCAGGGGCAAAGGGCCUGGCCUUCCUCAGCUAAAGCUUCAUGGGCGUGCUGAACCUAGGGGCAUUCCUGUCCAUUAGCUAAACACAUCCUCCAUGAACUUAGAUUGGGCAUGCUUUGGAAUUACACCUUAACUGAGCAUGUACCAAGUUAUAUACGUAUGAAUAUGUUUAGGCUCCUUCGAUAAAACCACUAUGCUUCAUUCGUUUGAGGAGGUCAUUGAAGUUUAGGUAACACCAUCUUGUCCCAGCUCAAUUUUGUGUCUGCUUAAACAAUUUUCAGCCUUUUACCCACCCACAGCCACUUUGACAUUAGGGAUUUCUAUUACUCUGACCAUGGUCUAUAUGCAUUAACCAAAAUAAUUAAUGUGUAUGCACACUAAACAUGAGCUAAAAUAAUUUUAAAAGAUGUGAUUUAAAAUUAAUUUUCAUGUUGGGCAUUCUUUUGGAAAUGAUUCCCAUUCUCUCCUGCUAUGGGUAGUAAAUCUUUCUCUACCCCUUCAGGUCUUGGCUGUGUUUAUUUGGUUUUGCACUCACCAAAAUUUGAACCUAUUGCCUUUGGUUUCAGCUAGGGAACAGCUCCUACCUUUCCUCCUUCUGUGGAUCUAUGGAAAGGAGAUCCAGAGGGCAAAGAAGACCCCCAGAAGUCCAUGACACAUCAUCAGGCAUGGUAGCCAAGUGUCAGAGUCCUGUCUUACCGAACACAAUCCUGAGAAGACAGACAGAUAGAACUGUGGAUGAUACCCCUCCAUGGUCUCUUCCUUAUGGUGUCUUCUAUUGCUAACCUCACAUGAAAUCCACAGAACAUUCUCAGUCCAUCCUCAAAACUGGCUUCCCUGUCAUAGCAUCACAAUGCAAACAUGGCAGGCUACCUAGGACAUCCUAAAUGGUCUUUUUUGACAAUGGUCUUAGUCGCUGAUCUAUUGCUGUGAAGAGACACCAUGACCAAUGCAACACUUAUAACAGAAGGAACUUAAAUGAAGGCUUGCUUAAAGUUUCAGAGGGCUCGUUCAUCAUCAUCACAGGGAGCAUGGAGGCAUGGCAGGCAUGACUCUGGAGAUGAGAGCUUUACAUCCUGAUCUAUAGGCAGCAGGCACACAGAGAGACGCUGGGUCUGGCGUGGGUUUUCAAAACCUCAAAGCCUGUCCCCAGUGCCAUGUUUCCUUCAACAAGGCCAUACCUCCUAAUCCUUCUAAUCUUUUCAAAGAAGUCUACUCCCUGGUGACAAAAUAUUUAAAUAUAUGAGUCUAUAGGGAUCAUUCUUAUUUAAAGCACUGUAUUCCAUACUCCCUGGUCCCUAUAGAAUGCAAAAAUACAUUUAGUUCAACUUGAAAAGCCCCUAUUAGUCUUUCAAAGGCUCAACACUGUUUGAAAGUCCAAAGUCUCUUCUGAGACUCAAGGCAAUCUUUUAACUGUAACCCUCUGUAAAAAUAAAAA